rnacentral:rRNA from 1 species
UACAGAGGGUGCAAGCGUUAAUCGGAAUUACUGGGCGUAAAGGGUGCGCAGGUGGUUUGGUAAGUUGGAUGUGAAAUCCCUGAGCUUAACUUAGGAAUUGCAUUCAAAACUGCCAGACUAGAGUAGAAUAGAGGGAAGUGGAAUUUCCGGUGUAGCGGUGAAAUGCGUAGAUAUCGGAAGGAACACCAGUGGCGAAGGCGACUUCCUGGAUUCAUACUGACACUGAGGCACGAAAGCAUGGGGAGCAAACAGG